rfam:Brassica napus, WGS project CCCW01000000 data, contig: 21318
AGAAAAUAAGAAACCGUCUCUUAACUUUUAAAUUAAAAAGCUAAGAACCGGUUCUUAAAUAAGAUAUUUAAGAACCGGUUCUUAGCUUUUUAAGUUAAAAAUUAAGAAACGGUUUCUUAUUUUAU